rnacentral:lncRNA from 1 species
ACCAUUUGAUACCAUCUGUUUCUCACACACAUCCAUGAGGGAAGAAUCAUUCCCAUUUAACAGACAAUGUAACUGGGCCUGAAUAUAGCUCAGCGACUUGCCCCAGGCCCACCAGGAAGUGGAUAAAGCCAUGCUCAACCCAGCACUUCUUCUCUCUACCUUCCACCGAUCCUGCCUGCUCAUCUUCCCUCCUUGGUGAAGGCAUGUGUGCUGUGCUCUGCUUAACUAAUUUCCCUCAGAUAUUCGCAUUUCUGUCUUUACAAUUUGGCAUCCCAGUGAGGUUUCCCUUUGUAUAUUUUCCGGUUCCUAUAUUCCCAUUAUUCAGGUAUCAUCACUCAAUAACCAUUUGACAGCAGUAAUGCUUUUCACAUGGAAAGAAUUGGGUUUUUAUUGAUGGCAAAUGUUGUGAUGAACUUUCAUGCCCACUUGGAGCCGGAGCACUUUUUUAUAGAAUGAACCACAAUGAGAAGCGUUUCCAAGAAAUGUCUUUGGAGUGUGGACUGAGAUGUACGUUUAGGAACAGGUCCUGUGGCCAGAGUGGGGAGAGAGGGGGCUUCCCAUUGUCAAAAUCUCAUCAAUCAAAAUGUAUAAUAGCAACAUUAUUAAUAACCCUAUAGUUGCAUUGCACUUGGUGCUCUUCCAAGCACUUCCCUAGAAUCCUAAAAUGAAGGCAGGGCAGAUAUUAUAUCCAUGUUACAGGUUAAACAACAUUGUAACAGGACUGAUAACACCAUGAAUGAGAAGUCAUUUGAUCAAUGGCCAAGGCAAUCCCCCCAGCCUGAGCUACUUCCCAGACCAGACCACAGAAGCAAGGCCAUGCUCACCGAGGACCCCACUUGUGGACUAGACUUCUGUCCUGCUGUGGCCUCAAAAGCAAUAGCCAGGGCCCCAUGAUGAAGCUGCCAUCAGAAGCACAGGUGUGCCUGGCAAGGACACAGGAGGACCACGGCUCCAUGCCGAUGAGAAUGGCAGCUAAGUCUGAAGCUUUCUAUGAUUUAGAUUCCUGGUUGCGAGAGGGAGCCUAUAGGAAUGGCGAGAAGAGUGAGAACUUUGCAGAGGCAGCAAGAAAACUCCUUGACCCUGACUAUGAAGGGAUUAGGUUUUGCAAGCAUCAAGAAGUCUAGUGAUGGAAAUAUUAUAGUUUAAUGAAAAAAGUGUGGAAUGGAAUGAAGACAGGAAGAGGAGAACAGAGGGUGGUGUCCUUGUCCUGUGACAAUGCUGAUUUUGGAAUGGCAAAUGAAAUCUGCCUCUUUGGAAUUCUAUCAUCCCCUCUUACUGCUCUGUGGCCUUAAAAAUGAUAUUUAAGAUCUCUGAGCCUCAGUCUCCUAACUGUAAAUUAGGAAUCAUAAGGCCUACCUCAUAGGAUUACUGUGAGGAUUAAAUGAGACUGACUAAUGACACAAAGUGACUAACGCAGUGCCCAACACAAAGCAAGCUCUCAGUCCUCUAAUUCUCCCCUCCCCACACACUUUUGCUACUCUGGGAACACAGGGAGGUCAGGAACGGCAUGGUGAACUUGUGUUUCUUGCCCCAGACCACUUGUUCUGGGGCUGCCUAGCUGUGAGUGGGGCAUCCCUCCAGCUGCAUGCAGCCUCGAAGUGGCCUGGGCUGGCACACACCCAGUCUCCCUCCCUCCAUCCAGGCCUCUUGAAUGCCCUGACCUCACCCAGCACUUUGCUCUGAAGAUCUCUGAGGGCUUCAAAGGCUCCUCUUUGGAUUCAAUACAAACGAUGUUCCUUCUGGGUAUGUACACAGGUUGGGGGAAGGCUAGUGGGUGGGGCCCAACCACCUCCUCCUAAUGAAGCCACUGCUCCCUCUUCUCGGCUCUUAGGGAGAGUUCCUUGCACUGCCAUUUCCUUUGCUGUUGGUAGAAAAAAAUGUAAAGUCUAGUUCAUGCCCACACAUGUUUCCAGGCGAAAGCUUCCUUUGGUGUCACCUGGGCAGUCCCACUCCAGUUAAAAAGCAGAUGGUGGUGAAUUCUCUUCUCAGAUGUGGCAAAUGAAAAUCUUAAGCAAACUGCUUAAAACUCUUAACCUCCCUCCCAGGAUUACCCAAGAUAGUCUCAUUUUUAAUUACUCUGUAUCUAAACCUUCAAAAAUGCCCCAAAGAUCCAAUACAUCAAUGUCCAAGUCUGAUCUCUUAGACUGUCUCUUUUCCGUGGAAGCAGCACCAAUCCGGUCAGGCAGUGGAUUCUCAGUGUUCCAAAACUUGAUCACCAUGUGUGACCAUUUAACAUCAUGGCUGCCAAUCUUUGACACUCCCACCUUGAGAGAUGGGGUCCCCUCUCCUUGAAUGUGAGGAGGCUUGUGACUGCUUCGAUCCAUGGAGUAUGGUGAAAGUGACAGACACCACAUGACCUCUGAGGCUAUGUCAUAAAAGGUCACACAGCUCCAGCCAAGUUGGCUGGGACAUUUGUUCUCAGAGCCCAAGUUACCAUGGAAGAAAUCUAACUACCCUGAGACGGCUAUCCUGGAGAGGCCACGGAGAGUGUCUUAGCUAAGAUUGUCCUUUGACCAGCCCAGUCAGGCACCCAGCAUGUGAGUGAAGAAGCCUCAGAAGAUUCUAGCCCCCAGCCUUUCAGGUCACCCCCUGCCUUUCAAGGUGGCCAGCUGAGACCACAGAUAUUUAGGGUGGAGAUGAGCCAUUCCUAGUGUGCCUGCUCCAAUUCCUGAUCCACAGAGUCUGUGAGCAUAAUAAAAUGUUGUUCUCUGACA